GAUGAACGCUGGCGGCGUGCCUAAUACAUGCAAGUCGAACGCUUCACUUCGGUGAAGAGUGGCGAACGGGUGAGUAAUACAUAAGUAACCUGGCAUCUACAGGGGGAUAACUGAUGGAAACGUCAGCUAAGACCGCAUAGGUGUAGAGAUCGCAUGAACUCUAUAUGAAAAGUGCUACGGGACUGGUAGAUGAUGGACUUAUGGCGCAUUAGCUUGUUGGUAGGGUAACGGCCUACCAAGGCGACGCUGCGUAUCCGACCUGAGAGGGUGACCGGCCACACUGGGACUGAGACACGUCCCUGACUCCUACGGAAGGCAGCAGUAGGGAAUUUUCGGCAAUGGGGGAAUCCCUGACCGAACAACGCCGAGCGAAUGAAGAAGGGAUUCGUUAUGUAUAUUUCUGUCAUAGGGGAAGAACGGUGGAGAUAGGGAAUGAUGACCAGGUGGCGUUACUUUAUAAGAAAGCCACGGCUAACUACGUG
rnacentral:rRNA from 1 species